CAAGAGCGUAUGUAAAAGUUGUUGCAGUUAAAAAGCUCGUAGUUGAACCUUGGGUUUGGUUGGCCGGUCCGCUUUUUUGCGAGUACUGGAUUCAACCGAGCCUUUCCUUCUGGCUAACCAGUCGUUUCGGCGGCUGGCGAACCAGGAUUUUUACUUUGGGAAAAUUAGAGUGUUCAAAGCAGGCAUUAGCUUGAAUAUAUUAGCAUGGAAUAAUAGAAUAGGACGUUAUGGUUCUAUUUUGUUGGUUUCUAGGACCAUCGUAAUGAUUAAUAGGGACGGUCGGGGGCAUCAGUAUUCAGUUGUCAGAGGUGAAAUUCUUGGAUUUACUGAAGACUAACUACUGCGAAAGCAUUUGCCAAGGACGUUUUCAUUAA
rnacentral:rRNA from 1 species